rnacentral:snoRNA from 13 species
GUUCCCAUUUUCCUACCGCUUUUCAAUGUCUAGGUUAAGUGGCUAUGCUUAUAGGAUAGAAGAAACUUGCCACAGUCUGAGGGAAAAGUCUCAGAGAGCGGUGGGGAGAUGGGGAAGG